AUUGAACGCUGGCGGCAGGCCUAACACAUGCAAGUCGAACGAGUGGCGGACGGGUGAGUAAUGUCUGGGAACCUGCCUGAUGGAGGGGGAUAACUACUGGAAACGGUGGCUAAUACCGCAUAACAUCAGAUGUGCCCAGAUGGGAUUAGCUUGUUGGUGGGGUAACGGCUCACCAAGGCGACGAUCCCUAGCUGGUCUGAGAGGGUGACCAGCCACACUGGAACUGAGACACGGUCCAGACUCCUACGGGAGGCAGCAGUGGGGAAUAUUGCGCAAUGGGCGCAAGCCUGAUGGAGCAAUGCCGCGUGUAUGAAGAAGGCCUUCGGGUUGUAAAGUACUUUCGGCGGGGAGGCGUUAUCCGAAGAGGAAGCACCGGCUAACUCCGUGCCAGCAGCCGCGGUAAUUC
rnacentral:rRNA from 1 species